AAUGAAUUGUUAUUAAUUUUUUAAAGUAGGAGGCACACACACCAGAAACGUCAACGAUCGAAAGAGGAGGCGGUGCCACUGGCAAACUGACAGAACUCGAAUCAUGAUAGGCAUAUCAGUUACCGGUAUCAUGUACACACUCUCCCCAACAAUCUCUUCAUUCACGCGCUUCUCACCCACUUUUUUCACUUCCAACUUUCGUCUUCGAGCUUCUUCUUCUUCAUCUUCUUCAACCACAUUUCUUGACACCAAUCCAACACUGGAUUCCGUUGUAGUUGAGAAGGAAGUUACUCGGAGCAGCAAUCCCUUGGCUUGUCCCGUAUGUUACAACUCUUUAAAUUGGACUACUCAUCAUGCUUUGUCCAUAGAUACUAUCCUUGGAUCUAGUUUACAAUGUAGAACCUGUCAGAAAGCAUAUGUUGGUAACCAAACGCAUCUUGAUCUCACGGCAAUAAGCGGUGCUAAGAACUAUGGUGAAUCCAUGCCAGCUUCCACUGAGCUUUUCAGGACGCCGUUGAUAUCAUUUCUCUAUGAGAGGGGCUGGCGUCAAACCUUUUCUGUAUUGGGUGGUUUUCCAGGUCCCGAGAAAGAGUUUGAAAUGAUGAAGGGUUUCCUAAAACCAAUAUUGGGUGGAAAUAUCAUUGAUGCUAGUUGUGGAAGUGGGUUGUUUUCAAGAUUAUUUGCAAAAAGUGGACUUUUUUCUAUGGUUGUGGCUCUGGACUACUCAGAGAACAUGUUGAGGCAAUGUUAUGAGUUUGUUCAGCAGGAAGAUAACUUUCCAAAAGAGAACUUCAUCUUGGUUAGAGCAGACAUAGCUAGACUUCCUUUUGUUUCAAGUUCCGUUGAUGCUGUGCAUGCAGGAGCAGCUCUCCAUUGUUGGCCUUCACCAUCAUCAGCUGUAGCUGAAAUAAGCCGUGUUUUACGGCCUGGAGGUGUCUUUGUUGCAACCACCUACAUACUGGAUGGCCCUUUUAGUGCUGUCCCAUUUCUAACUACAUUUCGCCGGUAGAUAAACUCAAAGUUAUUAGAAAAAUGAGCCAAUUACCAACCCAUGAAAAUACUUGAGAAUAUUUUCACAUCAAUUUAGCCUCUUGAAAAAUGAGUGUAAAGCAAGUAUCUGGGAGCUGCAUCUUUCUCUCUGAACGUGAACUUGAAGCUCUCUGCAAGGCGUGCGGACUGGUUGGAUUUAAAUGCAUUAGAAAUGGGCCUUUUGUGAUGAUUUCUGCUGCAAAGCCUAAAUAAGCGGUUCGAAAAGCUGCACGCUGAUCUGUUAAAAUUGUGGUUUCACUGGUACAAAAAGAUAGCUUCAUUUAGAAAAAUGAUAUUUAGACACACUUUUUCCUUAGAUUAUUCGCAUAUCAUAAGUUGGGAAGAUCAGAACUUCACACCAAAAAAAGUGUCGAUUUCUAAAGAAGGUGUAAGGAGUGUCCAUUCAUCAUGAUGUGUGAGAAACGUGAAGCCAAAUUUAUUUGUAAAUAUUACUUCAUUUGACCCUUCUACUUAAUUGGUUUUUUUGUUUU